AGUCGAGCGAAUGGAUUAAGAGCUUGCUCUUAUGAAGUUAGCGGCGGACGGGUGAGUAACACGUGGGUAACCUGCCCAUAAGACUGGGAUAACUCCGGGAAACCGGGGCUAAUACCGGAUAACAUUUUGAACCGCAUGGUUCGAAAUUGAAAGGCGGCUUCGGCUGUCACUUAUGGAUGGACCCGCGUCGCAUUAGCUAGUUGGUGAGGUAACGGCUCACCAAGGCAACGAUGCGUAGCCGACCUGAGAGGGUGAUCGGCCACACUGGGACUGAGACACGGCCCAGACUCCUACGGGAGGCAGCAGUAGGGAAUCUUCCGCAAUGGACGAAAGUCUGACGGAGCAACGCCGCGUGAGUGAUGAAGGCUUUCGGGUCGUAAAACUCUGUUGUUAGGGAAGAACAAGUGCUAGUUGAAUAAGCUGGCACCUUGACGGUACCUAACCAGAAAGCCACGGCUAACUACGUGCCAGCAGCCGCGGUAAUACGUAGGUGGCAAGCGUUAUCCGGAAUUAUUGGGCGUAAAGCGCGCGCAGGUGGUUUCUUAAGUCUGAUGUGAAAGCCCACGGCUCAACCGUGGAGGGUCAUUGGAAACUGGGAGACUUGAGUGCAGAAGAGGAAAGUGGAAUUCCAUGUGUAGCGGUGAAAUGCGUAGAGAUAUGGAGGAACACCAGUGGCGAAGGCGACUUUCUGGUCUGUAACUGACACUGAGGCGCGAAAGCGUGGGAGCAAACAGGAUUAGAUACCCUGGUAGUCCACGCCGUAAACGAUGAGUGCUAAGUGUUAGAGGGUUUCCGCCCUUUAGUGCUGAAGUUAACGCAUUAAGCACCUCCGCCUGGGGAGUACGGCCGCAAGGCUGAAACUC
rnacentral:rRNA from 1 species